rnacentral:rRNA from 1 species
AGUGAACGCUGGCGGUAGGCCUAACACAUGCAAGUCGAACGGCAGCACAGGAGAGCUUGCUCUCUGGGUGGCGAGUGGCGGACGGGUGAGGAAUACAUCGGAAUCUACCUUUUCGUGGGGGAUAACGUAGGGAAACUUACGCUAAUACCGCAUACGACCUUCGGGGUAAAGCAGGGGUCUUUCGGGCCUGGCGCGUAUAGAUGAGCCGAUGUCGGAUUAGCUAGUUGGCGGGGUAAAGGCCAACCAAGGCGACGAUCCGUAGCUGGUCUGAGAGGAUGAUCAGCCACACUGGAACUGAGACACGGUCCAGACUCCUACGGGAGGCAGCAGUGGGGAAUAUUGGACAAUGGGCGCAAGCCUGAUCCAGCCAUACCGCGUGGGUGAAGAAGGCCUUCGGGUUGUAAAGCCCUUUUGUUGGGAAAGAAAAGCAGCCAGUUAAUACCUGGUUGUUCUGACGGUACCCAAAGAAUAAGCACCGGCUAACUUCGUGCCAGCCGCCGCAGUAA